GGACGAGAUAGGGUGGAUAUGGAGAGGGUGUUUCCUACAGAGCGGGUAUCCAGAACCAGAGGACACAACCUCAAAAUUGAGGGGCGAUCCUUUGGAACAGAGGUUGAUCCCUUGACUCUGCGGUAAUCACAGAAUGAAGAAUAUGCCAGAUUGUGGUGAACAUUUCUGCUGCCGAUGAUCAACCCCACAAUGUCCCAUGCUCUGCAGGUCAUCAGCAGAAAUUCAGAGGAGAAAGGAAUAAAUGUAAACAUCUGCUUCCAGUCAUCUUCAUGUGGAAAUCCCAUCAAUUUCUAUUAAAGCCUGUGAGAAGCUCCAUUGGUACUCAAUCGUGAAGCAUCUGCAGAACAUCUCAUCCACGCAAAUCUAUUACUGAUGCAUGUACAGUACUACAUCAUGUGAAGUGGCAAUGUACUUGACAUUAUCGAUGGUGAGGUUCAGCAAAUAUUUUUGACAGAGCAAGAUCACACAAGAAGCUUGAGGAUGAUGUGUUUGAAAGAUGGAAUUUAGCUGAGAUUCAGACAGAGCUACAAUGCAG